CCUGGCGGCACUAGCGCGGUGGUCCCACCUGACCCCAUGCCGAACUCAGAAGUGAAACGCCGUAGCGCCGAUGGUCGUGUGGGGUCUCCCCAUGUGAGAG
rnacentral:rRNA from 1 species